rnacentral:rRNA from 1 species
GAACUGAAGAGUUUGAUCCUGGCUCAGAUUGAACGCUGGCGGGAUGCUUUACACAUGCAAGUCGGACGGCAGCACGGGCUUCGGCCUGGUGGCGAGUGGCGAACGGGUGAGUAAUGUAUCGGAACGUGCCCAGUAGCGGGGGAUAACUACGCGAAAGCGUGGCUAAUACCGCAUACGCCCACGGGGGAAAGCGGGGGACCUUCGGGCCUCGCACUAUUGGAGCGGCCGAUAUCGGAUUAGCUAGUUGGUGGGGUAACGGCCUACCAAGGCGACGAUCCGUAGCUGGUUUGAGAGGACGACCAGCCACACUGGGACUGAGACACGGCCCAGACUCCUACGGGAGGCAGCAGUGGGGAAUUUUGGACAAUGGGGGCAACCCUGAUCCAGCCAUCCCGCGUGUGCGAUGAAGGCCUUCGGGUUGUAAAGCACUUUUGGCAGGAAAGAAACGGCACGGGCUAAUAUCCUGUGCAACUGACGGUACCUGCAGAAUAAGCACCGGCUAACUACGUGCCAGCAGCCGCGGUAAUACGUAGGGUGCAAGCGUUAAUCGGAAUUACUGGGCGUAAAGCGUGCGCAGGCGGUUCGGAAAGAAAGAUGUGAAAUCCCAGGGCUUAACCUUGGAACUGCAUUUUUAACUACCGGGCUAGAGUGUGUCAGAGGGAGGUGGAAUUCCGCGUGUAGCAGUGAAAUGCGUAGAUAUGCGGAGGAACACCGAUGGCGAAGGCAGCCUCCUGGGAUAACACUGACGCUCAUGCACGAAAGUGUGGGGAGCAAACAGGAUUAGAUACCCUGGUAGUCCACGCCCUAAACGAUGUCAACUAGCUGUUGGGGCCUUCGGGCCUUGGUAGCGCAGCUAACGCGUGAAGUUGACCGCCUGGGGAGUACGGUCGCAAGAUUAAAACUCAAAGGAAUUGACGGGGACCCGCACAAGCGGUGGAUGAUGUGGAUUAAUUCGAUGCAACGCGAAAAACCUUACCUACCCUUGACAUGUCUGGAAUCCCGAAGAGAUUUGGGAGUGCUCGCAAGAGAACCGGAACACAGGUGCUGCAUGGCUGUCGUCAGCUCGUGUCGUGAGAUGUUGGGUUAAGUCCCGCAACGAGCGCAACCCUUGUCAUUAGUUGCUACGAAAGGGCACUCUAAUGAGACUGCCGGUGACAAACCGGAGGAAGGUGGGGAUGACGUCAAGUCCUCAUGGCCCUUAUGGGUAGGGCUUCACACGUCAUACAAUGGUCGGGACAGAGGGUUGCCAACCCGCGAGGGGGAGCCAAUCCCAGAAACCCGGUCGUAGUCCGGAUCGCAGUCUGCAACUCGACUGCGUGAAGUCGGAAUCGCUAGUAAUCGCGGAUCAGCAUGUCGCGGUGAAUACGUUCCCGGGUCUUGUACACACCGCCCGUCACACCAUGGGAGUGGGUUUUACCAGAAGUAGUUAGCCUAACCGCAAGGGGGGCGAUUACCACGGUAGGAUUCAUGACUGGGGUGAAGUCGUAACAAGGUAGCCGUAUCGGAAGGUGCGGCUGGAUCACCUCCUUU